CCUACGGGAGGCAGCAGUGGGGGAUAUUGCACAAUGGGGGAAACCCUGAUGCAGCGACGCCGCGUGAGUGAAGAAGUAUUUCGGUAUGUAAAGCUCUAUCAGCAGGGAAGAAAAUGACAGUACUUGACCAAGAAGACGCGGCUAACUACGUGCCAGCAGCCGCGGUAAUACGUAGGGGGCAAGCGUUAUCCGGAUUUACUGGGGGUAAAGGGAGCGUAGACGGUUUUGUAAGUCUGGAGUGAAAGCCCGGGGCUCAACCCCGGGACUACUUUGGAAACUGUGUAACGUGAGUGCAGGAGGGGCAGGCGGAAUUCCUGGUGUAGCGGUGAAAUGCGUAGAUAUCAGGAGGAACACCGGCGGCGAAGGCGGGCUGCUGGACUGAAACUGACGUUGAGGCUCGAAAGCGUGGGGAGCAAACAGGAUUAGAUACCCCAGUAGUC
rnacentral:rRNA from 1 species